CAAUAGCGUAUGUUAAAGUUGUUGCAGUUAAAAAGCUCGUAGUUGGAUUUCUGGUGGGAGCGAUCGGUCUGGCGCUUAGCGCGAGUACUUGCAUCGUCUCCGGCCAUCCUUGGGGAGAGUCUGUCUGGCAUUAGGUUGUCGGGCAGAGGAUCCUCAUCGUUUACUGUGAAAAAAUUAGAGUGUUCAAAGCAGGCUUAUGCCGUUGAAUAUGUUAGCAUGGAAUAAUAAGAUAGGACUUUGGUACUAUUUUGUUGGUUUGCGCACCAAAGUAAUGAUUAAUAGGGACAGUUGGGGGUAUUCGUAUUCCGUUGUCAGAGGUGAAAUUCUUGGAUUUACGGAAGACGAACUACUGCGAAAGCAUUUACCAAGGAUGUUUUCAUUAA
rnacentral:rRNA from 1 species